UACGUAGGGACCAAGCGUUGUUCGGAUUUACUGGGCGUAAAGGGCGCGUAGGCGGCGCGUUAAGUCAGCUGUGAAAUCUCCAAGCUUAACUUGGAACGGUCAGCUGAUACUGAUGUGCUAGAGUGCAGAAGGGGCAACCGGAAUUCUUGGUGUAGCGGUGAAAUGCGUAGAUAUCAAGAGGAACACCUGAGGUGAAGACGGGUUGCUGGGCUGACACUGACGCUGAGGCGCGAAAGCUAGGGUAGCAAACGGG
rnacentral:rRNA from 1 species